rnacentral:rRNA from 1 species
UACGUAGGGUGCGAGCGUUGUCCGGAAUUACUGGGCGUAAAGAGCUCGUAGGUGGUUUGUCGCGUUGUUCGUGAAAACCGGGGGCUUAACCCUCGGCGUGCGGGCGAUACGGGCAGACUUGAGUACUGCAGGGGAGACUGGAAUUCCUGGUGUAGCGGUGGAAUGCGCAGAUAUCAGGAGGAACACCGGUGGCGAAGGCGGGUCUCUGGACAGUUCCUGACACUGAGGCACGAAGGCCAGGGGAGCAAACGGG